rnacentral:rRNA from 1 species
UCCGGUUGAUCCUGCCAGAGGCUACUGCUAUCAGAGUUCGAUUAAGCCAUGUUAGUCGAGGGGUGGUCAUCCGAUGCUUGCAUCUGAUGACCAAACCGGCGGACGGCUCAGUAACACGUGGACAACUUGCCCUUGGGUCCGGGAUAACCCCGGGAAACUGGGGCUAAUACCGGAUGGGACAUCGCUUGCUGGAAUGCAGGAUGUCCAAAAGCUGAGGCGCCCAAGGAUAGGUCUGCGGCCGAUUAGGUUGUUGUUGAUGUAACGGAUCAACAAGCCUACGAUCGGUACGGGUUGUGAGAGCAAUAGCCCGGAGAUGGGUUCUGAGAAAAGAACCCAGGUCCUACGGGACGCAUCAGGCGCGAAAACUUUACAAUGUGCGAAAGCACGAUAAGGGAACUCUGAGUGCCUCCUAAGGAGGCUGUUCAGGUGUCUAAAAAGCACCUGAAGUAAGGGCUGGGUAAGACCGGUGCCAGCCGCCGCGGUAACACCGGCAGCCCAAGUGGUAGCCACUUUUAUUGGGUCUAAAGCGUCCGUAGCCGGUUGAGUGAGUUCCUUGGGAAAUUUGGCUGCUUAACAGUCAAACUUCCAGGGAAUACUGCUCGACUUGGGACUGGGAGAGGUCAGAGGUACUCCAGGGGUAGGGGUGAAAUCCAUUAAUCCUUGGGGGACCACCGGUAGCGAAGGCGUCUGACCAGACCAGGUCCGACGGUGAGGGACGAAGGCUAGGGUCGCGAACCGGAUUAGAUACCCGGGUAGUCCUAGCAGUAAACGAUGCGGGCUAGGUGUUGGCAUCACUGCGAGUGGUGCCAGUGCCGAAGGGAAGCCGUUAAGCCCGCCAUCUGGGGAGUACGGUCGCAAGGCUGAAACUUAAAGGAAUUGGCGGGGGAGCAC